GCCCACAUAGAUCAGUGGUAGAUCUCGUUCCUCAGUUUACACAUUGCAAGGUGAUCUGUGAAGGUGGCGGGGGUUCGAUUCCUCCUGUGGGCA